AUAGCUCAGUCGGUAGAGCGCCGGACUGUUAAUCCGUAGGUCCCUGGUUCGAGCCCAGGU
rnacentral:tRNA from 2 species